UUCUCAGGCCCUCCUCCAGACCUCCUGAAUCCAAAACUCUUUUAACACACUGUCCUGAUGCACACUUAAGUUUGAAAAUCACGGUCCUAGAAUCAGCUUCUGGGUAACUUGGGAAGAAGUGAGCAGGAAGCGGUGAAACAGAGGCGCUUGUCCCAAUCAGGGAACCUUUAAGGAACAAGAUAACGGAUGGCAAUUUUGUAUUUUCCUUUUUAGAUGACCCAGGAAAAUGGAUGCUCAGAAAUCAAAAAGAAGCUUGAGACUGCAUGGAAAAAUUACUAGUGAAUUAAAACUUUAUUUCUGUUUUUUUCAAUCUUGUCUGUAUCCUAACAAAAAGCUGGUGCUGGAAUGAAUGCGUAUCUUUUUGUUGUUGUUGUUUUGACACUGACAAAAAUUCCUUUUGCAAAUGGCUAUUGAGGCUUCAAAGGGGCAACGUAUCAUGCAAAUAAUUUUUUUUUUCAGCUAUGACGUGUACAGUUCAGUUUGAUUUAUUUUUGAUGUCAGAAACAAAAUGGAAAGUUAGCGCUUUAAAAAUGAGCGUGGCUGGCUGAAUAAAUAAAUAAUAUGCUCUUGGCCAGAACCCGCCAGUGCCUCCUUAAUUGUCCAUUGAUUCUUUAAUUCUCUGCACUUUAACAUCUACGGAAA